rnacentral:rRNA from 1 species
CCUACGGGUGGCAGCAGUGAGGAAUAUUGGUCAAUGGACGAGAGUCUGAACCAGCCAAGUAGCGUGAAGGAUGACUGCCCUAUGGGUUGUAAACUUCUUUUAUAUGGGAAUAAAAUGUUCCACGUGUGGGCUUUUGUAUGUACCAUAUGAAUAAGGAUCGGCUAACUCCGUGCCAGCAGCCGCGGUAAUACGGAGGAUCCGAGCGUUAUCCGGAUUUAUUGGGUUUAAAGGGAGCGUAGGUGGAUUGUUAAGUCAGUUGUGAAAGUUUGGGGCUCAACCGUAAAAUUGCAGUUGAAACUGGCAGUCUUGAGUAGAGUAGAGGUGGGCGGAAUGCGUGGUGUAGCGGUGAAAUGCUUAGAUAUCACGAAGAACUCCGAUUGCGAAGGCAGCUCACUGGACUGCAACUGACACUGAGGCUCGAAAGUGUGGGUAUCAAACAGGAUUAGAUACCCUUGUAGUC